GGGAUGUAGGGAAGCUACAAAGGCGAACAUUGGUUAAAUACCCAAUGAAGCUGGCUCAGUCAACCAGUUCAAACAGAACACAGCCUCGAAGGGAAGGGCCAUAUUUGUGGGCCUGUCUAACAAUUAAGAGUGACCACAUGGAAUGGGGGAUGAAAGGGUUAAAGAAGAACAAAUAUUGAACACAGCUUUUCUAUGAACAAACUGCAGGCAGCUGCUGCUUUGCAAGGGGAACUUCUUGGCUGCCAUUUCUGGAUGUCAAGGCUGCAGAUACACUGGUCAGGACCCUGGGUAGAGAGAGAUGCGUCAGAAUGCGGCUCCUUUCAGAAAGGCUUCUCCGGAGGUCAGCACUCGGGCAAAAGGCUGUGUGUGAUGUGUUUGGGAACACAAAGAAAAACCCUUUGAAAAGAUUCAGCACGUUGCCAUGGAGAACAUCCCACUGAAGGAAUGUAUAGAAGUAGCAGGUGUCAGCUGCCUACCAGUUGCUUUCAUCUCUAGAAAUCUGUGACUUGCAGUAUGACAAGAACAAAAGGUGACAAUACAAAGGACAAAGGGCAAGGAAUACAGACGGAGAAGCCGCUUAGAGUCUAGGAUGGCAGAGGUUCUCUUGAUCAUUUCAUUUUUGAGCGCUUGUAGAGCUUUGGUGUACCAGAGGUGCUUGAACAGCUUACCACACCACAGAUGAAUGGCCUUUGGAUUUCUCCUAAGAAAAUGUGGCUACCUGAAAUUCAACUCCAUUUUCUGGUCUUCAAUAUUUCUUUUGUGUUCAGUUUGCCAGCUGAGGAGAAGUGGCUAAGCAUAGCCUGUUACUGAUGCUAAAGCCCAAGUUCUGAACCUAACAACUCCAGCAACAUGAUCCUGUUUCAAGAGACAAAAAAGUGACUAAUGAAAGAAAACAAUUGAUGUGCUAUGUAGAGUUUAAAAGAAGGUAAAGAGAAUAAAUUAAAAGCAACAACUCUCUUCUUGACAA
rnacentral:lncRNA from 1 species